rnacentral:rRNA from 1 species
GAUGAACGCUAGCGGGAGGCCUAACACAUGCAAGCCGAGCGGUAUUUGUUCUUCGGAACAGAGAGAGCGGCGCACGGGUGCGGAACACGUGUGCAACCUGCCUUUAUCUGGGGGAUAGCCUUUCGAAAGGAAGAUUAAUACCCCAUAAUAUAUUGAGUGGCAUCAUUUGAUAUUGAAAACUCCGGUGGAUAGAGAUGGGCACGCGCAAGAUUAGAUAGUUGGUGAGGUAACGGCUCACCAAGUCAAUGAUCUUUAGGGGGCCUGAGAGGGUGAUCCCCCACACUGGUACUGAGACACGGACCAGACUCCUACGGGAGGCAGCAGUGAGGAAUAUUGGACAAUGGGUUAGCGCCUGGUCCAGCCAUCCCGCGUGAAGGACGACGGCCCUAUGGGUUGUAAACUUCUUUUGUAUAGGGAUAAACCUACUCUCGUGAGAGUAGCUGAAGGUACUAUACGAAUAAGCACCGGCUAACUCCGUG